rnacentral:misc_RNA from 1 species
AAGUCGUAACAAGGUUACCGUAGGUGAACCUGCGGUAGGAUCAUUGACACUUUUAAUGAAAAAAAAUUGUGAAUAUUAAGGUUAAAGUUUUUAUUUUUAAAAAGAAAUGAAAAAGAAAUUUCAUUAAGAAAAAAUAAUGAAAAAAAAGAAACAUUUUCAACAAUGGAUCUCUUGGCUCUC